rnacentral:rRNA from 1 species
CCUACGGGGGGCAGCAGUGAGGAAUAUUGGUCAAUGGACUAGAGUCUGAACCAGCCAAGUCGCGUGAAGGAUGACUGCCCUAUGGGUUGUAAACUUCUUUUAUAUGGGAAUAAAAUGUUCCACGUGUGGGAUUUUGUAUGUAACAUAUGAAUAAGGCUCGGCUAACUCCGUGCCAGCAGCCGCGGUAAUACGGAGGAUACGGGCGUUAUCCGGAUUUUGUGGGUUUAAAGGGAGCGUAGGUGGAGUGUUAAGUCAGUUGUGAAAGUUUGCGGCGCAACCGUAAAAUUGCAGUUGAAACGGGCAGUCUUGAGUACAGUAGAGGUGGGCGGAAUUCGUGGUGUAGCGGUGAAAUGCUUAGAUAGCACGAAGAACGCCGAUGGCGAAGGCAGCUCACUGGACUGCAACUGACACUGAGGCUCGAAAGUGUGGGUAUCAAACAGGAUUAGAGACCCUUGUAGUC